GACCCUUCGGAUCGAUACGCCAAACAUAACCUUGAUAUUCAUCCACGAAGGCUUGUUACAAUGGUUUUAUGCAUCAUCAUUGGUCUUACAACAGAAGUUAACAAUGACACCCGCGUAAGACAUCUCUUGGUAUAACCUCAUUCUAAAGGUCGUUAACUAUCUUAUUCAUUUACGGAAUCUAAACCUUUCCCUAUUAGGCUGGUUUGACAUUCGAAGGAGUUAGCUCCGAAGUUGUUAGCUCUCUUCCUGUAUUCUUAGUCGUCAAUUCUUGUGGCUAUGCGCCCGUUGCGCUUAAUCUCUUUCAAAGACUGGAAAGAAGUGAAGGAGUCCUCCUAUCCGCGCCAAAGGCGAGCUUGUCGUUGUUCACCAUUCAGACUUGGUUACAUCGUUAACAGGGCAGCCUUUCUUGGGUAUUAUUCCUCUCUUCGCCCCCAAUUCCCGACGCAUAAAAGCCUUAGUGCGCUAUGAGACCCCAUAACGUUGACAACGGUUCCUUCUUCAUAGCCUUUGAUGCCGGAGAGAUAGAAACGACUUUCUCACCUCCUUCGUGUAGUUCCUCUGCUUUAUUGAUUGAUUAACAUGGAACUAUCACCGAAACCAAGGGAAAGCCCACGAGCCGACCGCUACUCUGUUGUUUCGUUUCGCCCGGAUCGAGAACUGUCACCUUCAGAUAUAAUAGAUCCGGACUGGAACUCCUCACCAGACUAACUAAAGGACCUUGAAUUGGAAUGCCAACGCUUGGUUGGAAGCAGGCAAAGGGGCAAACCUACAGAAAUAUGCAACAUAUGAACAGCGUGCCACUUGGGAAACGUAGAAAAUAGGAAAGAAUCAAUGCCCGUAGCCUGUCGUUGUUUAGGAAAAUAGCCUUUUCCUCUCCGAUACCUAAUGGCGAAAGAAGUAGUGAGUGCUUAAAAGAACUUCAAUGAAAUCCAAUUCUUGGGGCUAGAAUAGCUUCUGGAAGCAGCGAGAAAAGAGGGCCGUAACAGCGGGUAGAUCAUGAAACGAGGGCUGAAUAGCUGCUAUUGGAAUAGACCGGCUAGACGAGCCGUGCACCAAAGAAGAUAAGAUCCUGUAUUACCCGGUAGGUAU
rnacentral:lncRNA from 1 species